rnacentral:tRNA from 1 species
GACCGCGUAGCUCAGUUGGCAGAGCAUUGGACUAGUAUUCCAAAGGUCGCAGGUUCGAUUCCCACCGUGGUCA